rnacentral:rRNA from 1 species
UACGGAGGGUGCAAGCGUUAUCCGGAUUCACUGGGUUUAAAGGGUGCGUAGGUGGGUUGGUAAGUCAGUGGUGAAAUCUCCGAGCUUAACUUGGAAACUGCCAUUGAUACUAUCAGUCUUGAAUAUUGUGGAGGUUAGCGGAAUAUGUCAUGUAGCGGUGAAAUGCUUAGAUAUGACAUAGAACACCAAUUGCGAAGGCAGCUGGCUACGCAUAUAUUUGACACUGAGGCACGAAAGCGUGGGGGAUC